CCCCCGCGGCCUCGCCCCGCCCCCUUUAGCCUGGGCUUGAGCGCGCGCAGAAGUCAGCUUCGUGACUUCCUUCUCAGGAUGGAACCAGCUUGGUGGCUUGAGGGAAAGGGGUUCUGAGUUGCAAAUCAGAAACUUGAAGAUGAAAUGGCUACUACGCUGGGUAUUGCCUUUAUCUUGAAUGCCAGCCUGAUGGUCCAAGGUGAACAAGCCUUCCUGUGUUUUCUGAAUGUUCCCCCGCACUUUGCCUGCCACCAUGUAAGAUGUGUCUUUGCGCCUCCUUUGCCUUCCACCAUGAUUGUGCGGCCUCCCCAGCCAUGUGGAACGCAGACACAACUCUUCACCAGUGCACAAAACCUGAUGAGAAGGAUACAGACUGGAUUUUGGUCCAGCUUGCUGCUUAACUAGGUUCCCUUGCACAACGCACAACCUGUGCAAUGAUUAUGCAGUGAAAUUGAUGGCCAUUACCUAACGUGGCUUCAGUGACCAUGUUUUCAAAACUGGGAGUCAGAGUGCAUGGCUUGACAUCAAGGCUUUGUGUCACAAAGCAGAAGAUCAUUAAUCUGGGAGUUGACAACAUUGGAAGCACCUAAACAAGUUGAUUAUUCAUACAA
rnacentral:lncRNA from 1 species